GGGAGAGUAGCUCAGUGGUAGAGCACGUGCUUAGCAUGCACGAAGACCUGGGUUCAAUCCCCAGUACCUCCA
rnacentral:tRNA from 1 species